GAUGAACGCUGGCGGCGUGCUUAACACAUGCAAGUCGAACGGAAGGGCUCCUGCUUGCCGGGGUACUCGAGUGGCGAACGGGUGAGUAACACGUGGGUGAUCUGCCCUGCACUUCGGGAUAAGCCUGGGAAACUGGGUCUAAUACCGGAUAGGACCACAUUUUGGAUGGUGUGGUGGAAAGUUUUUCGGUGUGGGAUGAGCUCGCGGCCUAUCAGCUUGUUGGUGGGGUAAUGGCCUACCAAGGCGUCGACGGGUAGCCGGCCUGAGAGGGUGUACGGCCACAUUGGGACUGAGAUACGGCCCAGACUCCUACGGGAGGCAGCAGUGGGGAAUAUUGCACAAUGGGCGCAAGCCUGAUGCAGCGACGCCGCGUGGGGGAUGACGGCCUUCGGGUUGUAAACUCCUUUCGCUAGGGACGAAGCGCAAGUGACGGUACCUGGAGAAGAAGCACCGGCUAACUACGUG
rnacentral:rRNA from 1 species